ensembl:lncRNA
UGAGGGCCCUGCGAGUGUGCACCCCGAAGCCCAGCAUCACCAGGUCCCAGCCUCGCUUCUCUACACAGCUCGUGUGGGCUUCUAGUAUUUCAGUUACUUACUCUCAUUUUGACGGAGUCCCCUCGUUAGAGUGUAAGCUCCAUCAGGUAGCGGCUAUUUCUGUUUGCUGUUGAAACUCGAACACCUGGAGGAGUGGCUGGCACCCCAUGGCUGUUUGUUUGUUCAGCCUCAGGGCCACAGGAAGACCGCCCACUGGGGCUUCAACAGUAUGUGAAUGGAGAACUUUCAGAUGUUCAAGCUGGAUUUAGAAAAAGCAGAGGAACCAGAGAUCAAAUUGCCAAUGUCCGUUGAAUCACAGUAAGAAAAUUCAAUAAAAACAUCUAUUUUUGCUUCAUGGACUACACUAAAGCCUUUGACUGUCUGGAUCACAACAAACUGGAGAAUUCUUAAAGAGAUGGGAAGAGCAGACCACCUUACCUGCCUCCUGAGAAAUCUGUGUGCAGGUCAAGAAGCAACAGUUAGAACUGGACAUGAAACAACGGACUGGUUCCAAAUAGGAAAAGGAGGACGUCAAGGCUGUACAUUGUCACUUUGCUUAUUUAACUUCUAUGCAGAGUACAUCAUGAGAAAUGCCUGGCUGGAUGAAGCACAAGCUGGAAUCAAGAUUGCUGGGAGAAAUAUCAAUAACCUCAGAUAUGCAGAUGACACCACCCUUAUGGCAGAAAGCUAAGAGGAACUAAAGAGCCUCUUGAAGAAAGUGAAAGAGGAGAGUGAAAAAUCUGGCUUAAAACUCAGCAUUCAGAAAACUAAGAUCAUGCAAUCUGGUCCCAUCACUUCAUGGCAAAUAGAUGGGGAAACAAUGGAAACAGUGACAGACUUAUUUUGGGGGGCUCCAGAAUCACUGCUGAUGGUGACUGCAGCCAUGAAAUUCAAAAACGCUUGCUCCAUGAAAGAAAAGCUAUGACCAACUUAGCAUAUUAAAAAGCAGAGACAUUACUUUGCCAACAAAGUCCAUCUAGUCAAAGCUGUGGUUUUUCCAAUAGUCAUGUAUGGAGGUGAGAGUUGGAUUAUAAAGAAAGCUGAGCGCUAAAGAAUUGAUGCUUUUGAACUGUGGUGCUGGAGAAGACUCUUGAGAGUCCCUUGGACUGCAAGUGGAUCCAACCAGUCCAUGCUAAAGGAAAUCAGUCCUGAAUAUUCAUUGGAAGGACUGAUGCUGAAGCUGAAACUUCCAUACUUUGGCCACCUGAUGGGAAGAACUGACUCAUUCUAAAAGACCCUAAUGCUGGGAAAGAUUGAAGGCUGGAGGAGAAGCGGACAACAGAGGAUGAGAUGGUUGAAUGGCAUCACCAACUCAAUGGACAUGAGUUUGAGCAAGCUCCGGGAAUUGGUGAUGGACAGGGAGGCCUGGCUUGCUGCAGUCCAUGGGGUCGCAAAGAGUCGGACACGACUGAGCGACUGAACUGAAUUGAACUACUCCCCCACCAAGCCCCAACUCUACCAUGAGAGCCUGCUGGCUGAGGACAAGCUGUUUUUUCAUGAUGCUGGUUUUCUGCUGCGUAUUCAGUAGUGUGCUUAAUUCUGCAAGGCAGGGACCAGCCUUCCCAUUUUACAGAGGAGGACUCUGAGGCCAAAGCAGAUCAACACUCUGGGAGGUGGCACCACUCAGCAAAGAGGAAGCAGGCUUUUCCACAGCCAGAAACCUGUUGAAUAAAUUGAUUAGCAAAUCAUUAUAAAUUAUUCCCUUACAUUUAUUUAACUUUAAUAUCUUUCAAAACAGUGUGUGUGUAUGUUCACGCACACGUACUCAGUUCUUUGUGACCCCAUGGACUGCAGCCCGCCAGGCUCCUCUGUCCAUGGAAUUUUCUAGGCAAGAAUAUUGCAGUGGGUUGCCAUUGUCUUCUCCAGGGGAUCUUCCCAACUCAGGGAUCGAACCCACAUCUCCUGCAUCUCCUACACUGGCAGGCAGAUUCUUUACCACUGAGCCACCAGGGAAGCCCCUUCAAAACAGCCUUACCUCUCAUGCAAUUGGCCAAAGUGAAAAUUGGCAGAGAAGGUAUUAUGCCAUGGCUAAGCAUAGAGAUUCUGACUUUUGGGGUCCAAACUCUGUCUUUUUCACUUUCGUGCUAUGUGAUCUGAGGCUACUUAAUCUCUCUUUGCCUAAAAUGGGGGUAAUAAUAGAACUUAAGGAGGAGUUUGAGGGUUAAUUGAGUUAAUAUCUGUAAAACAUUCAGAAAUUGCCUGGCAUGUAAGGGCUCCGUGAGAUUUGGUCUCUCUGCUUUUUUCUGCCUGACACAGCAACAUGCAACAGUGCAGACCAUCGCAGAGAGACUGCUGUGUGCGAAAUGGAGAGCGGGGAGAAGCUGCUCUG